rnacentral:rRNA from 1 species
AUUGUAUCCACGAUUGGGGAAUUUUCCGCAAUGGGCGAAAGCCUGACGGAGCAAUACCGCGUGAGGGAGGAAGGCUCUUGGGUCGUAAACCUCUUUUCUCAGGGAAGAACACAAUGACGGUACCUGAGGAAUAAGCAUCGGCUAACUCCGUGCCAGCAGCCGCGGUAAUACGGAGGAUGCAAGCGUUAUCCGGAAUGAUUGGGCGUAAAGCGUCCGCAGGUGGCUGUGUAAGUCUGCUGUUAAAGAGUCUAGCUCAACUAGAUAAAAGCAGUGGAAACUACACGGCUAGAGUACGUUCGGGGCAGAGGGAAUUCCUGGUGUAGCGGUGAAAUGCGUAGAGAUCAGGAAGAACACCAGUGGCGAAGGCGCUCUGCUAGGCCGUAACUGACACUGAGGGACGAAAGCUAGGGGAGCGAAUGGGAUUAGAUACCCCAGUAGUCAAUCGUGGAUACAAU